ensembl:lncRNA
GUCCCCACCCACACUGUGCUGAUGAGCAGACAGACGGGUCCAGUUCAGUCAUCUCUGAGGACAUGGGAUCUCAGGACCCAGAGACCCAGCUGGCUUCUCUUGGAUGAGGACGGGGAGGGGGGAUGUGGUGGUCCCUGCCCCUCGCCCUGGAGCAGGAGAAGGAAGAGCCCAGCAAGGAGACCCUGGGAUUGCCCGGUUCCCCAGCAUCAGCAUUACUUGGCAGCCCACCUCAGCACCUCUUGAGAACCAUCCUCCACAGUCAUUUCCUGUGGUUGAGGUGGCUGCCUGCCCCACCGCCUGGGCAAUCAGAACCAGGGACUGUAUCCAGGAUGGGCGUGCUCAGUGGACAGAAAGGAAGCCUCAAGCUUUUACAGCCACCACUUGGCCGCCUGCCCAGGAAAGUUCUAUAGGCUGAGCUAUCGCAGAAGGAAGACAAGCAGAAGGAGUCAGUGAAAGUCACGACCCCAUGGACUAUACAAUCCCUGGAAUUCUCCAGGCCAGAAUACUGGAGGGGGUAGCCUUUCCCUUCUCCAGGGGAUCUUCCCAACCCAGGGAUCGAACCCAGGUCUCCUGCAUUGCAGGCAGAUUCUUUACCAGCUGAGCUACAAGAGAAGUCCAAGCAGAGGGAAGAGACAUAUACUUCUGAUGACAUAGUUUGAGCACCAGGAUUCAGGUGAAUCUGAGGCCAUUGACUAGUGAAUAAACUCCCCAGUUU